AGAUGGUUCUCAGUUGGAACAUCUAGGCCCAGGAGAUUUUUAUGGAGAGGAACUUCUAGUUUCCCCAUUGUGGACCUCCUCUAGUGAUGCAAAACCCAUAAACCAGUCUGUUCAGGCCAUUGAUGAUGUUCAAGCCCUUGUUCUCUUUGUCACAGACAUGGCGACCUUGAGCUUUAGUUCCAGGCGGUAUAUCAACGAGUUGCGCAUGGUGGUAACUAUUCUUCAGAAAGUAAGCUCCUCUCUAUUUAGAAGAUAUAUAAAAGAUGAAUAACUGGAUUCGCACCUUCCAUCCUAACUAGCUACUAAUAUACAAUGAUGUUACUUAUUUAAUUUAUAUAAUGUUCUCUUUAUGUUUGAGAAAUUAAUAAUGUGUCAAAUCCUAGGUGCCAAAACUUCAAACUAUGGAUAAACAAGUAUUGAAAGCAAUGUCUCAUCAUCUUUCUCCGGUUAGCUAUAAACGCGACGACUAUAUUGUUCGAGAGAACCAACCAGUUAGUAGGAUGUUCUUCGUCACGAGGGGAGAGGUAACAAAAAAUGAGAACCCUCUGGAAGCAAAUUUUAUUGGAGAAGAACUUCUUGAGUGGGUAUUGGAUAAGUCUUUUCCUACCAUAUUACCCUUGUCGACCUGCACUGUUAGAGUAGUCUCAAAUGAUGCCGAAGUCCUCAUUUUGAAGGCCAGGAUGUUGAAGAAUGUAGUCUCUAAGUUCAUGAAGCAUUUCAGCAAUUUCUCCUCUCUCUCAGAUAUCCGGUUAACUUGGCUAAAGAAAGUAAGUUGCUCCAUCUGCAGUACUAACUUUUAACCAAUUUGCUUUAUAUUUUUCUUAACUGACAAUGUCACAUCUAUCUAAUUUUAGGUGGAAAUCUUUCAACAAAUGGAUGAACAAGUGUUGGAAGCAAUAUGCAAGUGCCUUAAGCACAUGAACUUCAAUGUUGCCAAACGCCAUAUUCUUCAAGAGAAAAAACCACUUAAAAUGAUGUUCUUCGUCAUCCGAGGAGUUGUAUUAAUUGAAAGCGAUAGUGCUUUGGAAGUGAACGUUAAAAACACCUGUGAAAUAGGAAGUUUCUAUGGAGAAGAACUUGUACAUUGGGUUACAACUUGGGUACACAAGUCCUUUCCUGCCAAACUACCUUUAUCACCUGGUUCUGCGCUAUGUAGUGUGCGUGGUGGUCCUGUCGAAAUACUUGCUCUCAAAGCCGACGACUUGAAGAGUGUAGUCUAUGAAUUGAGGUCGAAAUUCAUCACGGAAACCACCCUGCCUACAGAUUCUGAUCAGCCUCGAGAACUGACCAUCCUAAAGAAUGUAAGUUCCUCUGGAUGAAGAGAACCUGACCUAUAUAUAUAUAUUAUAUCCUAUAUAUUUUAAUCAUUAUUCUAAUUUCUCCUUUGCCUUAAAUAAAUAUGGUCUCCAAUAAUAUCCUAGGUGGAAAUCCUUAAGACUAUGAAUGAGGAAGUGUUGAAAGAAGUAUGCAAGCAUCUUACUGAAAAAACGUAUAAAGAUGAGUACAUUAUUAUGAAGGAUAAACAAAUGGAAAUGAUGUUCUUCAUCGUCAGCGGAGUUGUGUCAGUAACAAACGAGAGCUCGAAACAUUACCUUAGAGAAGGAGAAUGUCCAAAUCACAGUGGAGAUGAGCUUAUACAACGUUGGGUGCGAUCUAAAUCUACCAGCGUUUCUGCCGAAUUGCCCACCUCUCCUUCUAGUUUUUGGGCCAUCGGUGAAGUUGAAGUUCUGAUUCUUAAGGCCGAAGACUUGGCAAGUGUUCAGCUUGGUGAUCGAAUUGGUUAGUAUUAUCAUGUAUGUGCAACUAAUUAAUUAAUUUUGUCGUGAGUUGUGCAUAUAAUAACGGCAUGUGUGUAGUAAUAAGAUGUUAUCUUCCCACCGCGGCUACAUGCCUGCUUAUAUACAUACGUGCUUUCGUUGUCUGAUUUCUAGUAUUUGAUGAUCUUGGCAGGCUCUUGAGGAAAUGGCAAGGAAGAGUGAUGGUACGAUUACUUGUCCAAGGACAGGUUUGGUUUGCAAUUAAACAAAUCUGGUGAAGGCAUGUGUGUGUAUUUAUGUAUGCAACCCCGCCUUAGUUGUGACCUUUGUUGGAAAAGAUAAGGAGGUGGGGUAAUUGGUUGUACAUUAUUGUGUGGAGGUGCCAAGGUAAGCACUCUUUUUUUUCAAAUACCAAAUUUUCCUCUUCUGGGGAUUGUUUAUUAGAAAAGAAUUAUUAUUUUUUAUUUUUGGUCGAAAAUCAUAUCAUUAAAAGAAGCCCUGGAAAAGGAACAAAAGCUGGUAUCAAAUUACUUAUUAGGGAGGAAGACCAGAACUUUAGAAGCUAACUUCAACAUUUUUUUGUUUAAUUAUCCAAGGCUUAGGCUUGAAUUCAAUAUGUUUUUCAUGAAACUUGCCAAAAUUGAAAUUCUCAUUACAUCACUAGCUAGCUAGCAACAAGACAAUGAAUUAUAUGUCGGCCAUCAUCAUACAAUACGAGUUCGGCGUUAAUUUCGAUUUGAUUUUGCAUCCCACUAGAACUAUAGUAGAACCAAACAAUUCAUCAUGUUCACGUCUGACAUGAAGAAGUUGAGCGUUUGAAGAUGACCCGAGAAAGUGGUCCCCGCGGUCUCUUUGGGAGGUGGAGAUGGAAAGAAAUUCAACUUAGCCAGUCCCUUAGCAGCUGAAUAAUCCCAUGCCAUAACCUCGAGCUUAAUGGCCACUUCUCUCAUGGAGGGCCUUUCAUCCUGCAACCCUAGACAGCUUUUUAAGAGAUCAACCACUUCUUGGCUAUCUCCAAAUUUUCCUCCGUGAUUAUUUUAUCAUCAAGAAUUUGAUCCAAGCGACCCAGCAAAUAUAUAUAUAUAUAUAUAUAUAUAUAUAUUUAGUCCAUGGUAAAGCGUUUAGGAGACGAACAAAUUUAUGAGAAGAAGACUUGGGUAGAAGACUAGAAGUCUGGAAGCCAACAACUUUCGCAUUUCUUUUAUUUAUAAUCCAAGCCUUGAAUUAAAAAUGUUUUUCAUGAGGACUUGCAAAAUGAAAUUUGCUUUGGUUGGGAACGAGAAGACUUAGAAGUAGAUCUAGUCUCGAUGCUUGCUAGCUUUAACAUAUUUUAUUAAAGCCUGGAAUUAAAAAUGUUUUUCAUAAGAACUAGCUUGCACUGCAAUUUAUAAAAUCACAAAUCUUACCAAAAUGAAAUUUGCUUUGAUUUGGGAGAUGAACCAAUUUAGUCAACAAGACUUGCAGAGAAGACCAGAUUUUAUUCUCAAUGCUAACAUAACUUUUUUUUAAAAAAAAAAAAAUCCAAGUCUAGAAUUAAAAUGCUUUUUUUUUAAAUUUUUUUUUAUUGCGAUUAACUCAUACUGGAAUUAAAAGCAAACCAAAAGGUAGAGAAUAGUGAAAUAUUUAAAAUAUCAGCUAAUUUCAUUGGUUAAUGCAAAUCUUAAAAAUUAAAAUUAUUAAUUAAAUGAAGAGAAUAUGAUAAAUUCACACUUUUUCAUAUUAACAUAAUAACUGGUUUUUAUUUUACUCCAUGAAUAAUAUCUAGUUCGCUAAAUAAAAUUUGCGUUUAUUUUUAUGGAUAAUUAAAAGUUUAGGGGGAGAUUGAAGUAAAAUUUGCUUUUCUUUAACAAUUUGUGGCAUUCUCUUCUCAACUUCUCGUGUGCGGUGAAAACUGGUACGUGGGGUUAUUGGAAAUUAUGGUCUUGUAAAUUGUACGUUCCAAUCUUGUAGUUACUACCGGGGGGUCAUCCAUAUAAUUAUUCUAUUACUUCUCAUGUCCAACAUUAAAAAUUAUCCAGAAAACCAUAGUGCAGUGAAGCUGAAAAAGAAAGGAAAAUCAUUAUAAAAAAAAUAGUUACAACACAUUAAAGGAUUCUUUGCCAGAUAGAGUUCAAGAGGAUGAACAGAAAGUUAAAGUCACUACAAUAUUGUUGGGUAUAUAUGAUAGCUGAAGCCAACUGGAAUUGUUGAGCUGGCAGUGGUUAGUUCAGUGUUAGAUGGUUAGGCUGUUACGCAACAGUUUUAGAAGUUCGUUAAGAGCUUAAGAACAAGUGUAUAAAUACUCUAAGAAACCUUGUAAGGAUUUAUAAGGAUCUCACAUUAUUAGAACUUCAGCGUCUAACCUAAAACUAAACCAAUCCUAAUGCAUCAAAGACUAUGCUCUCAUGCAAUACCCAAAGUUCAUAUACGACUACAUAUGUUCAUGCAAAACUGUGAACAAAUCAUGCACUUCAAUUCAUAAGUAAAUGAGCAAAGAUCACAAACCUUGUUUUACACAGUUGUUCCGACUGCCGAAAAUCUUCUAUUCACCGGAAAUCACCUCUCUCAAGCUCAACUUUCGCUCUCAAAUACCAAGUGUUCCCUCAAGCAUAACCCUUCACCUUUUAUACUGAAGCCCUAGCAUCAGGAAGCGAAAGGGCGUAACAAUUAUGACAGCACUCAUCCAACGUGUCCACUCCUAGCAUUCAUUACAAACACAUGCUUGCACGGAAGCCUAGGCCUCAUGCUAAGCGAAGAUUUUUAUCCCAGCAAGCCAACCCCAGCAAAUCUAAUAAGUGCAUCACGAUUCGGAAACCUGUUCCGAUCGACAAAGCAUGCCGAACGGCAGGCUCACAAGGUUGAGUUCACCUCACCCGCCUAGCCGUUCUUCCUAGCAUGUCAAACGGCAGGUGCUCAGGGUCGAGUUCUCCUCACCCUCAUAGUCUUUCAUCUUUUCAUACCGAACGACAAGGGCAUAUGAUAGACUUUCCCCCAAGUACCCUUUUUCCCAACAACCCCAUUGGUUGGAGACUGGGGGGACUAUAUAAGUAUCAUCGGCAAACCACUAGGAACUUGCUAAAAUUCCUGUAGCGAGGCCCGGAUCAGAAUGUCGAAGACAUGUACGAGUACCCAACCAAGAAGUCCUUUCUCAAUCGAGAACUUGGGGGAGUCAUGUUGGUACCAUAUUUGACUAGGUCUCUCACGCCACGACACAUGGAAAUGACCUGACACCAAGCAGGGCCUAGAAGCCCAAGUUGGCCAGCCUUACGAGUGGUAGAUGCCCUGAGCACCCACUAUUGAUUCUACACUGACCGGCUCUUCACGUAGGCUCACAAUUGACAAUCGGCAUGUGUGCUCAGCACCCGUUGUCAAUUCAGGCUCCCAAAAGAUAUCUCAUAGGGAUGUGUUGUGUUCUUUACUGGUAUACUUUCUAGGAUACAUGGUAGUUCCCCAAGCUAUUCCCACAAGUCCCACAUCGAAAGUUUAUACCAAUGAAACACCAAAACUUCUAUAAAUAAGGCCUUUUGCGGGCAAAAGGUAAUAGCGACUUUACACUUAUGCCCUUACUUUGUCAUCAGCUAACUUAUAUUUUCUUCGGCUAACUUUAGUAUUGGAGGGCCUUCGGUCGGUAUCACACCAAUGUCUUAGGUCUUACCUACUGCUUUUUUCCUUUCUCUGAGAAAUGCCGACGGACAUGCUUACUGAAGGCAUAUCAGAUCACACAUCAUCCUUAAAUUUGGGCCCACUACUGAUCAUCUAGUUUUGAGCACAAACAACUGCAAUGAAGUAGAAUGUUCAAAUCACAGCGGAGAUGACCUUAUAGAAUAUUGGAUGCAAUCUAAAUAUAUUGUCUUUUCUACCAAGUUGCCCUUAUCUCCUUUUAAUUUUUGGGCCAUCGGUGAAGUUGAAGUUUUCGUUCUAAUGGCCAACGACUUGGCUGAGGUUCAGCCUCGUCCAAGUGCAACUGUAAAUUGAUUGUUCAAUUAUUCAAGUUUAUUAGCAAUUUUGUUCUGUAACUGUUGGAAUGUCAUGUGCUCUAUGUACAUAAAUCAUUCCCUGUCCAAACGCAACCGCAUAUCUCCUUCAAAAUAUCUUUCUUUUGUGGGUCGGAAAACCAAAUUGAAAUUAAUAGUAUCUACAAAUUACCUUACCGAAACGUAUUCUGUAUUUUUAUAUUGAAUUAAUUUGAAAGAAAUCCAAGUAGCUUAUCAUCUACGUGUACAUCACAUAGUUGUGCAAUCACUUGAAAGGUUCAGACGGCAAGUUGUAUAAGACUCUUUCAACGAGAAAGUCUCAAUUCCAAAUAUAUAGUUCUGUGGCCCGAAAUCACUUCCAGUCGCUUUAAGAGAGAUGAGUUGGGAGUGUAUAUUGAGUGCAUGCAUUGUAGCUAGCUGCUAAUUAUAUUCAGAGAUGCUGCUUUGCCUUGACCUGAUUCAGAUAUAUACUGUUUUUGUGUGGGAAGGAUGGAAGGAAGAGUAUCAAAAAACAAGGUUCAUCAAAUGUCAACCCUAUCUACUUAUACGCCAAAUAUUGUUCACAUGGCAAUCAUACGUCAUAGUUGAUAACUACAGUGUUUUCUUUCUUUCCAAUCUCAUUGUUUUGCGUUGAGUACAAUUUGGACACACAUAUCGUUACUGCUUAAAACGUCCACCGUCAAGACCUUAUCCAUGGAAAUUCAUUUUCCCUUAUUUCACACCUGCAAUAAUUCCACAACUAAUACUCCCAGAAAACAGGCCACAGAAAUGGGCCACGUGGCCACCUAUUCUGGACCAAACAACAUCGACAUUAUAUAUUUACCAUUUUUAUUAUGGAGAAUGCUAGCAAUCUUUUUUCUAACUUUCUUUUUUGGACUUUCUCUCUUGUACAUGUGUUACUUUCUCUACACUUAAAACAAUGUCAUUAAUGCAUUAGACAAUUUAUCUUUUUUUUCCCAAAUUGUGAAACCCCGUAUUUAUAAAAUUGUAUAGUUUGAAGAUUUGAUAUUUUGCCAUUUAAUUUAUAUAUUAUAUUAUAUUAUAUUAUAUAUGUGUGUAUUACAUAAAUAUCCUAAUACAUUAUAUAUGGAUAUGCUUAGUCAUUGUUAGUGUAGUACGUGUCAAAGAAAAACAAAUGCUUAGCAAGCAUAGCUAUAUACUAGCCUUGUCAAUUCACCAAGAAAAGUUGUAUAGGAUUGGAGGAAUUGGGAACUACCCCAUCUACAAAGCUAGACCACAUAAAAAUAACUUGGAUGGUAAGUGUUUGUAAACCGCCAAACACCAUCCAAUAGGAAGGGAGUCACUGCCGAUAUAUUCCUUAUAUAUAUAUAUAUAUAUAUAUAUAGGACGUGAGUUGCAUAGCAAACGGAAAAAAAUACAACAAGAGAGAAAUAUUGGUAGAGAGGAGUAAGGAAAAGAGUGAGAAACUGAGUUUGUGAAUUCGAUGGAAAAUUGGGAAACACUUUACAUUUCUAGCAAAAGCUUUGGUAUCAAGGUAGGGGUUUCUUGGUGACCUUUUACAAAGAUUGAUCUAAUUAAAUUUCGUGAGCUCUAUAUUAUGUGUGAUAUUGUAUAAUGUUCUUGAUAUACUAUAUUUACGUAUUGUGAACUAUUUGAAUAAUGUUAGCAUAAUUAUAUCAUGUCAUGGUAAUUGGUCGGAGUUGUUGGGUGGAGAAGAUAAUUGUGGAAAAGAGGGUAAUAAGAAGGUUCUUUUGUGUAGUUGAGUCUGACCAUUGUAGGGACCAAGUUCAGGCAAGCUCGUGUGCACAGUAGAUUAGGAAAUCGGCGGUAUAAUUGUCGAUUGGGUGAUUUGGGCUUGGAGAUCAAUGGUAUAGACAAGAUGACUAGCAAAAGGGGAAUUAUGAGAUAACUGUGAUGGGUGUUAGUUUAUAUAAUGGGGCAUUCGGAAUCACAGUGGUAAAAUGCAUGGUAUGGGACAUGCAAAUUUGCUUGCCCUACUAUAUAGAUUAACGGGUUGGGUAGAAUUGAAGAGCAUUCAUGCAUCAUUAUUAUUAUUAACAUUAAUGUGAUAUUUGGCUGUGUGAUUGCAUGUCACUUAAUUUAGUUAUAUCAAUCUACUAUGGUAAGGUCUCAUAUCCCUACUAAGCUGUGGUUGCUCAUCCCUCACCCUGUUUACUUUUUCAGAUGAAUUAGUGGGCAAGACAAGGAGUAAAUCGGUUGGGGCUGAAUUAGAUGAUAGUGAUAGAGCUUUAUUUAUUUAUUGUAAAGUUGUAAGAUUUUGGAUCUAUUUUUAUAAAAGAAGUUUAUUUUAAACCAUGUUUUGGCUUUUAUCUAUUUAUUUUAUUUUAGUUUUUAUUUUCUCACGCACUGGGCGCGGGAUUUUUACGUACCUCGGUCCGGGGCGUGACACAAAUUUACCCAUAUUAAAUGCAUUAAUUUUAUAUUUUCUUCAAUUUACAACUUAAAGUUCAAUUAAAUAAACAUUUGAAAAUAAAUUUAAAUUUUUUUUUAAAUUUAAUGAACAUUCUAAUGGAUUAAAAAAGUUAAAAAAUAAAAAGAAAUAGAAAAAAAAGAAGAUGAAAAUCCAAACCCAUUACACCAUCUGUCUCUCUCUCUGACCCAAAACCCAGCCCCCUCCCUUGGCCAAAACAACAGUCCUCAUCCGUACCCAAUCAUCAUCAUCGCUUUCCAAUCCAAAACCCCACCAUCCAUUGUACCUCUCGCUCUCUCCUCCGAUUCCAUACCAAAAAACUCAUCCCCCUUCCCUCACCAAGAAAAAAGUGAACAAUUUUUUAUAUUUUAUAUUUUAAAUCAUUGACGUUAAUUUUGUGGAAUAUGUUAAUUCUCCCUUAAUGUUUUUAACAAGAUGCAAACAAAAGUUAGUUUGUUCAAUGCAUUUAAUAAGGUAAAUUUGAGAAACAAAAGAUACAUUGUCUAAUGUAUUAAUGGCAUUUUUUAAGUAUAAAAAGUGACACAUGUCAUGAGGGGAAGAGAGAAGGUUCAAAAGAGAAAGUUAGAGAGAAGGUUGCUAACAUUCCCCUUUUAUUAUAACAUGACUUUAGUCUUUAUGAGUCCCGAUCCCUUUAAAAGUAAAGUUUGAGUAAUAAAUUACUAAAAGAAAUAAAUUAUUAGGUGUUUAAUGUACAUACCCUUAAUAAAGCCUAAACAAAGGUGUUUAGGCAAAACUCUUCUCACUGCAAAAAUUCCUAGCACAUUCUCUCCCAAAAAACACUCCUAAAGCCGUUUUUACUUUGAAAAAGGAGGAAGCCAUUGUUCUUCCUCCCAUCUCCCCUCUCCCCUCUCCCCUCUCCUCUCUUCUUUCCUCAUUUUCAUAGACAAAAGGUUUUCCCUAUUUGUCUUCGUUUUGUUAUGACAGUCAAAGUGUUAUAUACUUAGUCAAGAACCAAGUGUUUCAUAGAAGGUCUAAGCAUAUUGAUAGACGAUAUUACCGGAUAAGAGAUUGGGUGAACAAUAAGGAUAUUGUAAUAGAGAAGGUUCAUACAGAUGAGAACGCUUCAGAUUGCUUGAUCAAGCCAGUCACAGCUAAGAAGUUCAGACAUUUUUGAGCUUGCUCAAUCUUGUUGCAUGCUAAAGAUUGAGGUGGAGCUCUUGGGAAUUACUAGAACGGUUUUCCAAGAGGGUUGAAAAGGAUCUAGGGGUCGAUGAUUUUCACAAGGUAUUUAAGGCUUGCCAAUGUGGAUAUUGUUGAUGUUGGCUCACCUCAAGAUAUGGAAGGAUUGAAGGAAACGGGCAGUCAAACGAGCAACAGACGUGUUGACUGGGCUCUGGCCCUCAAGUGGCAGAACUCUGACUCGAGAUGAAACAGGCGCUCGAGCGGCGCGAGUGGCGCUCUAGCAAGACACGUGAAUCCAGCGUGUAUCCCUGACUUAUCUGGACAGAUUUUCUCUUAGUUUUGAGAUGUUUUAGGUUUCCUAUUCCUUGUAUAAUAGUACUAAAAUCCCAUGAAGUAUAAAUAGGCACUUUAGCACUAGAUUUUGAUAACGUGAGAAAAUUAAGACAUCAAAUUGGGUUGAGCCAAGGGUGAAAGAAAAGAGAGUUAGGAUUUGUGAGAGAGCAAAUGGGCUUCUUCAUUGUAACCAAAGAGGUUCUUUCGUACUAGUGAAUUUCUUAGGGAUCACCAAGAGGACGUUGACACAACGGCAAACCUCUAUAAAUUCUUGUGUUCUUUGUUUGUGUUUAUUUUUCAGUUUGUGUGUGUGCUUUAUCUUUUCGUGACUUGUGUGUGAUUGUUGCGUAGUCAAUCAACAAUAUGGUCUUGAAGUGUUAUGAUUUUAAAGUGCCUAUGUCUUUGUCACUGUGUGUUUCGUACUUUUUGGAGCAGAAGGAAAAACACAAAACCACCGAACACUUUACAAUUUUGUCUGUCCUUUCCCCCUUAUUGAUAUCAUUGAAAUAAAAGUUGCAAUGAAACCACAAGGUGCCAUUAAGAAGGUCAUAUCAUUACAUUACUUGCUCCCUGUAUACUGCUCAUGAACCGUGAAGACUUUAUCCAUGUAAAGUCAUUUUCCCAUUCAUACCUGCAUUAGUUCCACAACUAACAAGUGCCAAAAAAAAGUCUCUCCUUUUAAUUCCGCAACGUGCAUUCAAUAAGAUUCAAAACGUGGCAGAAAACAGUCCACACAAACGCUUCACGUGGCCACGUACCUUGGACCAAACAGCAUGUACACAGUACAUACAUCUACCAUUCUUAUAAACUUGACUUUAAGUUGUAGAAAAUUUGAGAUUUAAAGGGGAUUUGCUCCAUCAUUUGCAUUCCAGAAUUCUAGCAAAGAUCAGAUUCAGUUUCUGCCAAAAAAAAAAAAAAGGAAGAAGAAGAAAGGUUUGCAUGGCUACCGGUGAAGUAACUGUAGUAGUGGAGAACAUAGAAGGGAACAUGGAAGGGAAAACUGAAGCAACAGACAACUCGAAAGAGAAAGUUGCAAGGUUAGUUUGUAUAUAUACGUACAACUUUAACAUGCAUGCACCAUUUUCAUUUUUCCUUUCUUAAAUAAAUAUUCUUAUAUCAAACAAUGCAAAGUCCCCACUACAGAACAUAACCUUUUCGUUCAAAAAAGAAAAAAGAAAAAAAAAGAACAGAACCUUUUGUUGUUUUGAGAACAACUAAAGUCAUUGCGUUGUAAUAAGCCAAAUAUUUAAACACAUAUGGUGGUACAUAUAAUAAAAUAAUACAUAGUAAAAUUAAAUUAAUGGACUGCUUUUUCUUGUCAAACGAGCUGAUAUGCGCAAAUUUACAUUUUUUUUUUUUUUUCGUUUUUGUUUUUCUCCAGUGAUCGUUAUUCAAAUUCAGAGGCAACAGUGAAAAACUCAGCCAUGAAAGAUGAAGAUGGAUCAAAUAAAAAAGAGGACGAAAAUCAUGAUACUCGUUGGGGGGCUUUCCUUCAAAUGUGGAAGAAGAUAUUUGUAGUAUCAUGUCUGUUUACUGUUGCACUGGAUCCAUUGUUUCUCUACGUUCCUAUGAUGAAGGAUGAUAUCAAGUGCCUGCUGGCCGACAGAAACUUGAAGACAACAGCUCUUCUUUUAAGAUCACUCACUGAUCUUUUCUAUAUAUUUGACAUUAUUUUGUAAAUUUAUACAUCUGCUAAAUAUCGUGUCAGUGUCACACAAAACGACUCGAAAAUAAGGUUUUCGUGGAAAUCAACAAUAGCUAAGAUGUGGGUAUUCUUCCGCUUCUACAAUAAUAUCUUCAUUGACAUUUUGGCUAUUCUUCCGCUUCCACAGGUUAGACCUUUAUUGGAAUUUACUGACUAGUAGCAAAAGAGGCAAAAGCCACAAUUUACCUAGCCACAGUGGGCCGACAGUGGCCAAUAUUAGUGAUCUUUGCUCGUGAUAAUUUGAUUUUAAAUGUUUGUAUUAUGUUGUCCAGGUAGCAAUUUUCAUCUUCCUUUCAAAAAUGAGGGACUUGAGAUCUUUGAGCACAAAAAGGAUGGCUAUUAUGAAUCUUUUUGUUUUGUUGCAAUAUGUGCCACGAGUUCUUCGGAUCUACUUAUCAUGUAAGGAACUUAAAAAAACUCCUAAAGAAGAGAUCAAAGAAACUGCUAUAUGAGUUAAAGGUGUCUUGAAUUUCUUUAUGUAUAUCCUGGUUAGUCAUGUAAGUAACAAUAUUUAAUCUUGAUAAAUGAUUUGGUUGGAUUUUUUUUUCCGUAAAAGGCUAGGUUCUUAACUCAAUCAACCUUGAUGAAUGGAAAAUGUACAUGGGGCAAAAUGAUCCAUAUUACAAUAGAGUAGGCAUAUACUUAAUAUUCUUGAGUUACAUUUUCACAAAACAAUAAUGUUUCAUAACAUUAAGUCCUUCUUCCAAUCCUUAUUCGUGUAUGUUCUUUUUUCCUUUUUGUUAUAACCAAAGGCAUUCAAACUCUAGUCUCUUGGGCGUAAGGGUAAAUACCUCGUACUGCUAUAGGUAGAAACUCUCAUAAUUUUCAGUCUAUGUUUAAAGGGUGAAGAUAAGUUGUUGAAAUAAGGAAACUGUCCUAAUCACGAGAAUCUAAUGUUGUGACGCAAGGAGGCGACUCCUUCCAAAUACGCCAAAUUUGACAGUAUUUGAUAAAUAUAUUUUGAUGUAUUUUUGUUUAACUUGAGUGAAGUCAAAAAUUAAAAUAUAAUUUUAUUCAUAUUUUCAUCAUCACCUCUAAGUCUAAUCUAAUUAACAAACUUGUUAUUAUUUAGGUACUUGGAGCUAUAUGGUAUUUUUUCGCUAUUCAACGAAUGACCAUUUGUUGGUGUGAUGCAUGUCGGAAAAAAAAGGGAGGUGAUACUAGUUCUUUUGGCUGUCAUGAGCAUAACACAUUUAGAAAUAUUAAAUUUUUAAAUGAUUUAUGCCCUAUAAGUCCAGCGAAUACAACGCUCUUUGAUUUUGGUAUAUAUAGUACAAUCCUUCAAUCUGGUAUACCAGGGUCAACAAAAUAUUUUCAAAAGAUCUCCAAUUGUUUUUGGUGGGGACUGCGAAAUUUGAGGUUUGUAAUUUUUUUUUUUUUUGGUGUUGUUUGUUUGAACUUUGAUGGGUAAUGAUGAAUUUGCUUACUUCCAAUCAUAUAUAUGUUUUACCAUUUCAUUUUUGCAGUUCUCUUGGUUAAAAUCUUGAGCCUAGCGUGGAUGGAUGGGAGAACCUCUUUGCUGCGUUCAUCUCUAUAAUUGGAUUGCUUUUAUUCUUAUAUCUCAUUGGAAAUUUGCAGGUUAGGCUUGAGUUUAAUUUAAAGAAAGUUGAAUGUAUCGUUUUUGAUUUGAAGGAUUCAUAAAUAACUAAUACCUAGUUAAGAAUGACUGAGCUGCUUGUUGUGGCAUGCAUAUAUAUAUAUAUAUAUAGACAUACAUGCAGUUGAUUACUGCACGAAGAGAAGACCAUAGACACAAGGUGAAAGUGAAACGAAAGAUGGAAAAGAAAGAUAAAGAGACAGUUGUGGUUAUCUGAAAAUGGCAUCCCCAAAAAGUUGAAGAAGACGGGGAUGCUGAUUUGGACUAUAUCUUCUCUAUUCUUCAAAUCCGUAUUAAAAAAUAUAUGCAGGUAAGUUCCUCUAAACCCAUGACUUUAAUUAAGUAGUAGUGGCCUUUCCAUCUACAUAUACUCCAGGCUGAAAACACCCAUCCUAAUCUCAUUUAGUAAAAAACAGUAAACAAGUACAUCUUUGAAAACUUGCAAAUUCAUAACCAAACUCAUGAAAGACCUAAAUGGACCAAAACCAUUUUAAUUGCUUACGUGACAAUAACGAGUCCCACUUUUUACUCUGAUAAGAAUUCCAGGUGGGUGAAAAAAAUUAAAAAAUUAUAUAUAUUUUAAAUUCAUUUACCACAUUUUUAUCCCACAUUUCUAUACCACAUGAUGUGGUAUGCCUAUAUCAUAUGCCAUGUCAAUUAAUUUAAUGAAGUAUAUCUCUAUAUUUAAAGCAAAAGGCAAAGAAUGGUGAAACAUUCAAAAUACUGGGAAAUGCCCUUGGUUAAUUCAAACAUUAAGAAUUGAACUUAUUAAUUAAAUGAGGAUAAUAUCAUAAAUUCACAUUUUUCUAUUUAAAAAAAUUAAAAUUAAAAACAAAAUAAGAUAAUAGGCCCUACUUUUAUGGAACAUAACUACUCAUGUUAUCUUUUCUUAAUUCUAAAAAUAAAAUAAAAAAUAAAAAAUAAAACCAAUUGGCACAUGCUCGGGCUAGUUCAUGUGCCAAGGGGCUAGUUUUAAUAAAGAAAUUUUAAUUAAUUGUGUUUUUUAAAGUGUUAAUAAAUCAUAAAAGAAAAAAAUUAAAUAAAUUUAAUUGAUGUGGUUGUCUACCUCAUUUGCCACAUAAGGUGGUAUACAAAUAUGAUAAGAGUAGCAUUAUUCAAAAAAGUUAUAAAAUAAUAAAAAACACAAUGAUCAACCAGCCCCACCUCCUCUCCCCGAUCUCCAUCCUCCGUUCCUCCCAGCCCCCAGCUCCCACCCCUUCACCGUCAACCUAACCCAUCCAUCCCCACCCGCUCCCUUUGUCUCCUACAAACCAACGACCUAACUCUCCCUCUCCUUUUUAAGAAACCAUAUGUCAAUGAAGGUGAAGACAUUCCCACCCAAACUUAUCUAAGAAACCCCAAUCAUCUUCCCAAUGGCGGGUAAUAGUUAGCUGGUGAAAGGACCCGCCCCGAAUUUUCUCAAAACUCGAGACGAACCCUUUGGAAUUCCUGACAUCACUUUGAUGCCAGACCCAAUUACUAAAGACCGAGACUUCCUGCAGGAAAUUUCGGCAGAGUCUCCCCUAUAAAUUGGACAUUUUCCAAAAUUUAUACCUGCAUGAAAACGCAUUUAAUAUUCCCAACUGGCAGCAUGCACAAUAUAAUUUCAUGCAAUUCACACAGAUGGCCUUCGGCCUUCCAAUAAUUCUUAACCAACUACCAAGCAAUUCAAAUACAAAUUAUGACUAAUAUUUAGUCUGCGGCUGCACCUAAUAACCUUAGGCUGCCUACGUACCCUCCUUGAAGGAUCAAGCCACACGUAGUUCUUCCCUAAAAAUCCAAUUCCACACUUGGGCGAUGCCUUAUUUCAUUUCUCUGUAUUUCACAUAUUCUCCCCAUACGCCGGUACAACCAACGCCACGUAUGAGGCCUGUCAACACGCCGGAUAACCUACGCCACGUGCGACCAUGCCAUACUAUCAUAAUAUCUCCUCAUACGCCGGUACAACCAACGCCAAGUAUGGGGCCUGUCCCAACGCCGGAUAACCUACGCCACGCGGGACCUCAAUAUCAUAUCACAAAUCUCCCCAUACGCCGGUACAACCAACGCCACGUAUGGGGUCUGUCGACACGCCGGAUAACCUACGCCACGUGCGACCUCAACACAAUAUCACAUAAUCUCCCCAUACGCCGGUACAACCAACGCCACGUAUGGAGCCUGUCUCAACGCCGGAUAACCUACGCCACGUGAGACCUGAACAUCAUAUUACAUAGCUCCCCAUACGCCGGUACAACCAACGCCACGUAUGGGGCCUGUCCCAACGCCGGAUAACCUACGCCACGCGGGACCUAACUUUCACUUGGCGGUACUUGUAGUGAAUCCAACAUCCGGGGCUCCGAUUCACGAUCUGUGAAUUCCUACACGAUCCUAGAAAUACGUAGAUUAACAUAUAUUAAAUUUGGGACCAUCCGACGGUCCCAACCUAUCGAACCCGGAUAACGCACAAUAUGCGAUUAUCCGUUCGAUAGUCAAACGAUGUCCGAAUUGAGAUCCGCGAAAUCCUACGCACUCGUGACAACCUAAGGAUCUCAUCGGAACACAGUGCUACUUUUCUACAGUGUCCACGCGCCGCCGCACGCUCCGGCAGCGUGUGGGUGCCCAAAGCGAUAACGCUUUGCCGGAAAAGCUCAAAACCACGGCUCCAAACUCCUACCCUAGGUAUAACACACUAUUUGGAGCCACUUUUGUUCUUGGACCUACCCCAAAAAGUGGCCGGAAAUGGCCGAUCACGGCGGCCGAAGUUCGGCCGAUUUUCAAUUUGAAAAUCGAGUUGUCUACGCUAAGAAUCGAUCUAAUCCUUUCCAACCAUCAGCUAGAGCAGCUCGAGAGGUUCAAAAUCCAUACCUGGGUCGACGGAAUUGGUGGCCGGAGGAGGGAGAUCGGCGGCUGUGAAGAUCCGGCGACGUCGGCCGCUUCUUCUCCAAAUUCCGGCGAAACCGCGGAUGCUGGAGGCGGGGGCUGGCUGGGGUAGAAAGAGGACGACGGCCAGGUCAUUUUGGUACCGAUCCCGUCGUCAUCGGUGGCCGGAGGAGAGCAUGGCCGGCCAAAACGUGACCGGCUGUCGCGCGCGAGAGAGAGGAGAGAGAGAGACCCGCGGGGGAGAGAGAGAGAGAGAGAGAGAAAAAUCUGAGUUUUAUAAAAAAUUCCAUUUCGAAAUAUUUACGAUUGUGCCACUGGGCUUCUUUUGACCAUAUCUCUCUCGUUACAACUCCGAUUCGAGCCCACUACGUGUUUAUGAACUCGUCUCAGUACGACCUUUUCAAAAAUACUAGUUACUGCCCCAAACUCUCUUCGGUUAAAAAUAUGACUAAAAUACUCUUAAAUAAUUAAUUAAUUAAAUAAGGGUUAAAUUCGGGGUCGGGGUGUUACAGCUGGUUUGUCAAAUCCUUCUCUCAACAACAAUCGGGGGACUCAAAGAAGCGCAAAGAGGCGCAGUUGCACCUCCCCUCGCCGGAUACCAUAGAAGUCAGUCAUUUUGACCCCUUGGGCGGCUGGGCAAGAAUGCCCACAACCUGUUUGUGGGAAAGCCGGAAUAAAGAGCAACAAAGCAGCAAGUGCGGUCUAUUUUUCUUUUUAAUAUGUUUUAAGAUCUCCGUGUGCAUUAUACGUGUUUAGUUUUUGUUCUAUCAAAGACCACAUCAUGCUGCUACUUUAGUUUGAGGGUAGAGCAGUCAUUAGAGCUUACUAGAAUAUGCAUUUCAUAAAAAAAAGAAGGAAUAAUUGGAAGUGAGUUUUCAUGUUUUAUUAGGACCACCAAAAAAGAAGUGGAGAGAUACUAGAGUUUGAUGGCUUAACCUAAAAAUAUUUUGAUAUAUAUAUAUAUAUAUAUACAGUCCCUUUUUAUUGAGGGAUUUCUCAAAUAAUUUCAUUUGAGGGACACCCUUUAGGGUCCUCUACGAAUUUUUUUUCAACGAUCGAAACCAUCUAUUUUUUAAGUCUAUAUUCAUAGAUAAUCCUUGAAGAAAAUUAGACAAAUCGGAAACUGUUUUGAUAUCCAAUUGUGUCCUACAAAAUCAAUGAACACAAUGCUUCAAGAAAGUACUAAAAUUUCAAUAAUUCAAUUGAGUGGUCAAAUGAUAUCGGAUUCAAGUGAUUUUUUGUAGAGAUAUCUUUGAAUGAGUAUCUACAAAAGAGAUGGUUUGGAUUAGUGAAAUACAAUACAGAGUGGGCCCUACAAUGGUAUCCCUCAAAUAAGCUAAUUUGAGGGAUCCCUCAAUGGAAGCUCUCUGUAUAUAUAUAUAUAUAUAUGAUCUUUGAAUGAGUAUCUACAAAAUAGACGGUUUGAAUUAGUGAAAUACAAUAUAAAGAGGGGCCUAAAAGGGGUGUCCCUCAAUGGAAGCUCUCUGUAUAUAUAUAUAUAUAUAUAUAUAUAUAUAACUUAACUCAAACUUCAGACUAAUGCAUAUGCAGAAAAUAAUGCAUAUAUGAAAUUAAUCAAAAUAGGAUAAUUUUGAAAAUAGCAACUUUUUAUUAUACUCACAGAGGUUGCAACUGCAAAUAAGCUUAUUUGAGGGACACCCCUGUAGGCCCCACUCCGGUUUGUAUUUCAAUAAUCCAAACCGUCUAUUUUGUAGAUACUCAUUCAAAGAUCAUCCCUACAAAAAAUCUCUUGAAUCCGAUAUCAUUUGACCACUCAAUUAAGUUAUUGAAAUUUUAGUAUUUUCUUGAAGUACCGUGUUCAUUGAUUUUGUAAGACACAAUUGGAUGUCGAAACGGUUUCCGAUUUGUCUAAUUUUUUGUUAGGAUGAUCUAUGAAUGAAGACCUAAAAAAUAGAUGGUUUGGAUCAUUGGAAAAAAAAUUGUAGGGUACCCUAAAGGGCGUCCCUCAAUAGAAGGGGACUGUAUAUAUAUAUAUAUAUAUAUAUGAAGCAAGUAUUUAGAACUUAAAUGAAGAAAACGCAUCCAAUUACAACCAUUACAUAUCAUCCUAGCUACACGGUACUAACUUUUAGAAGAUUUGCUUCAUAUUUUUCUCAAAUAUUGUAUCUAUUUAUAGGUGCCACUACUUAAAGGCAUGGACGAAGGAGUUUUGAGAGAAAUCUCUGAGAAGCUUAAGCCCGAGAAGUAUACCCGUGGAGAAAUCAUUAUAAACAAGGAUGAAACACUUGAAAUGAUGCUUUUCAUCGUGGACGGACAUGUAACCAUUGAAAAGGAAAAUUCUCAGUUGCAAUUAGGCGCACAAGAUUUUUAUGGAGAGAAACUUCCGUUAUCUGUUUUGUGGACCUCCUCUAGUGAUGCAAAACCCAUAAACGAGUCUGUUCAGGCCAUUGGACUGUUGCAAUCCAAUGGUACAAAUUCAAUUUUUCCAAUUUUUUUAAUUAAAAAAACUAAGUGUCUAUUUCCAAUCAGACAACCUUGAUUGAAUCUAAUGAAAUUUAACGGUAAAAAAAAUAUCCAAGGCCAAAAGGUUGAUAUUAGUUAAUUUAUAUCAUAUUCAACCUCGAAAAUGAUUCCUAGGUCUAUAUACCCACCCAUUUGUUCAUAAUUCGUGCCUCUUUCUUUUAUAAUCAAAUACAAUUAUAUUUUUAUAAUUUAUAACUUUCUAGUGAAAAUGUUCAUAAAACUAAUUUUUUUUAAAUGUAAACAAAAAUUAAUUCCAUACAAGUUCAUCAAAAAAUUUGAGAUUAAGAUACAAUACGAGUUUUAUUGGAGUUGAAUAUAAGUCAGUUUUUAAAAGUCUCGCCCAUUUAAAAGUAAAGUUCGAGUAAUAAAAGAAAUAAAUUAUUAACACACAAUACGAGUGCCCGUGAUAUUGAUGCAAAUUUACCCUUCUAAAUCAAUAAUUAUGGGCUAUUUUGUGCUCCAAAGUUCAUAUUCUGCUGAGCACUCAUCGCUUUAAUUUGGAUACUAAUCAGAAGGAUAAUUGCACAAAGCUGUGAAACUAAAUUAUAUUGAAUCUCGUGAAAGUCACGUACGUAUAGAUCCAUUUACAUAUAUUGAAUUAUCUAAUUUGACUUUGUCCUUCACGUGAUUCAAAUAAUGUGGUAAAAUUGUUUUUUAAAUAAUGAUGAUGAUGAUUUGCACCAACUUCCUAAAAAUGUGGAAAUUUUGUUUUUUUUUAAAAUUGCGAGUCGCCAUCUUCAUCUUCACCUUCAUUUGUGGUGACUUUGAUAGUCUAACUGAUAUGAUUUUAAAACGUCUAUGUCUUUGUCGUUGUGUUUGUCCUUCCUCCUCUGUCAACCACAAUUAUUGUUCACAGCCAGUUGCCUCUGAUUCGCUACACUUAGUGGAAGAGUAGUAGGGGACAAGGUUUAUCAAAUGUCUACUACACUAAGUCUCUCACAUAUCUUAUUUUAUAUAGCAAUUAUUGUUGAUCUAAACUCUUAGAAGCUUCAAAACGAGAGCAUCUACCAUUCUUAUAAUUAACUUGACUUCAGUUUGCUCCCAUCAUUUGCAAAUUCCACUAGCAAGAUCAGAUUCAGUUUCUGGAAAAAGAAAAAAAGACAAGAAAACAAAAAAGCUUUGAGUUUUAUAUGGCUUCCGCUCACGGUGAUUUAGAGAACGCUGAAGCAAGGUUGGUUUCUCUAUAUACGUACGAGUUUCAUAUGCAUGCCCCAAAUUCAACUUUUUUCCUUUCUUACAAAAAUAAAUGUUUUUAAUUAUAUUGUUAUUGAUCUAGAACAGUUUAACCUUUUGUUGUUUUAAGGACAUGCUAAAGUCAUUGCAUUGCUAUAACAUUAAUAAUAGUAUAAUCACAGCCAAAUCUUUAAUUAUAUCCUAUAUACGUAAUUUUAUGUUCUUUGUGUCUUGGCCAGCAGAACAGAUUAUCCAAAUUCAAACCAGACAACGGAAAAUUCUUCCACGAGAGAUGUAGAGGUGAAAAAUUCAAAAAAUGCAGCACGGUUGACUAAAAUAUUUAUAACAUCAUGUGUGCUUGGCGUUUUCCUGGAUCCUUUGUUCCUCUACAUUCCUCUCCUCAACCACGAUUUGAAGUGUCUGAGGUUGGACAACACCAUAAAGAUUAUCGCUCUCGUCUCGCGAUUGUUCACUGAUCUAUUUUAUGUAGGCAGAAUAAUUUUGCAAGUUUGUAGAUUUGAAAAUUGUUCGCCUUUCAUGAAUCGAAUUCUUCCCGAAAGUUGCUCCUCCAAGUUAAUAACAUCAUUCAUCAAAUGCUUUCGUGAGUUAUUACCUGAAGUAACUGAAGUUCAUGAGAAGGAAUAUCUAAUACCAAGUAUAACAAAGGAGAUACUGGAGUCGUCCAUCAUAGUUGACAUUUUAGCUAUUCUUCCUCUUCCACAGGUAUGAAGAAAAGCUCUUUGAUAUCUAGACUCUAGAUCCAGUAGUUAAUUGCUUUUCCAAUCUCACUGUUUUUAUUUUUUAUUUUGGUCAUAAAUCUCACUGUUUUUGUUUGCAUGCAAUGAUAUAUAUAUAUAUAUAUAUAUAUAUAUAUAUAUAUAUAUGAGUUGGUCCUUUAUGAGUUGUUCUCUACUACGGACGUCCAUAUUUUUUCUAACAUCGUCCUACAUGUUCUUUUGCCUUCCUUGUGAUAAUAAAUUAACCUUAUCACUUUUCUUGGUAAAGGUAGAAUAGAAACCAUGCUCUACCAAUACUUAAAAGUCAAACAUCACCUCUAGAUUGGCUUUUCCUUCAUUGGUGGCCUGUAGAGAGAAUUUGGAGGCUGUUAUGUGUGCUUUAGUGCCUUUUUUUUAAUGAUAAAGAAGAGAGAUGUAGAAAACAAAAUGGAAAUGGUUUUCUUCCCAUUGAAUGAAUGAAUUCAUUCUGAUCAUGUGAAAAAAACAAAACGAGUCUGGACAUUAAGCAAUUCCGGACGUCCGCACUAGAGAAUAGUCCUCUAUAUAUAUAUAUAUAUAUAUAUAUAUAUAUAUAUAUAGAGCUUUUAUUAAGGGAUUCCUCAAAUUAGCUUAUUCGAUGGACACCUUUGUAGGGUCUACUUCGCAUCAUAUUUCACUAAUCCAAACCGUCUAUAUUUUAGAUAAUCAUUCAAAGAUUAUCUUUACAAAAAUCACAAGAAUAUGAUAUCGUUUGAGCACUCAAUUGUGUUAUUGAAAUCUUAGUACUUUCUUGAAGCACCAUGUUCAUUGAUUUUGUAGGAUACAAUUGGAUGUCGAAAUGUUUUCCGAAUUGUCUAAUUUUUUGCAAGGAUGAUCUAUGAAUUUAGACUUACAAAAUAGAUGGUUUGGAUCGUUAGAACAAAAUUCAUAGUAUACCCUAAAUGGUGUGGGAUCCCUCAAUAGAAAGGGAUUAUAUAUAUAUAUAUAUUAGGGAUCCCUCAAAUAAGUUUAUUUAAGAGACACCCUUGUAGGACCCACUUUGUAUUGUAUUUCACUAAUUCAAAUCGUCUGUUUUGUAGAUAUUCAUUCAAAGAUCAUCUUUACAAAAAAAAUCACUUGAAUCCAAUAUCAUUUGACCAUCAUAUUGAAAAUUUUGUACUUUUUUGAAGCACCGUAUUCAUUAAUUUGUAAGACACAAUUAGAUGUCGAAACGAUUUUCGAUUUGUCUAAUUUUUUGCAAAGAUGAUCUAUGGAUGUAGACUUAAAAAAAUAGAUAGUUUGGAUCGUUGAAAAAAAUUCCGUAUGGGACCCCAAAUGUAAAUGGUGUCACCAUAAAGAUUCAAGGACUUUAUAUACUGUUAUAAUGAUCUGAAGACCAAGUGAUCAAUACCUCGGUGGCUAUAAGUAUCAUUUCAACCAUAUUAGAUAACAUUUUGACCAGUAGCGGGGCCAGUAUUUCACAUUAGAGGGGGUCUUUCAUAAAAUUUGUCUUCUCUUCAUAAUUAUCAUGAAUUUCAUAUUUUAAAUUGGUUAAAUAUUAAUUUUAUCAUCUAAACUAUUAAAGACUUAAAAAUUAAUCAUUUAUAUUCCAACAGAUAAAAAGAAAUGGGGAAGAAAAAAGAGUUCAUAAAGUGCAAUAUUAAGGUACCCAACUCAUACGAAAAAAAAAUUAGGAAAAUAAAAAAUUAACAAAAGUUUAAAUAAAAUGUUAAAACUUUAGGAGUUUUUUGUGCAAAUAUCAUAAACUAGCCUCGAAGAUUUAAGGGAGAUAAAGAAAUUUUACAGUUUAUUUGUAUACAAAAAGAACAUAAUAUUUUAUUUUAUUUUAGAGUAAAUAUCCUAAAAUCAAUCUAAUAUAUUAUAAUAUUGUAUAUCAUAUAUAAUAUACAAAUAAAAUAGGUAAAAAUGGAGUGGGGACAUGGGACCACACUGGUCCCAUGCUGGCUUUGCCCCUGAUUCUGACUAUGUUUGAUAGAAUGGAAUAAGAAUACAUUUAUCAUGAAGACUGGGCAUCGUCUCUGCUAUUUCGAUUUCAACCAAAUAAAACUAGGGUUAAUUUCAAUUAGAAUGCUAAACUUUCACCCUUAAGGCACGUUUGUCUAUGCACUCUCAAAUUUAACAAUUAUGAAUUCUAAUCUUAUUAAUUUUUUGCAAUCUAGUUUAUGCAUUAACUUCACUAGUGAAAUUUCUGUUAAUUGCCCACGUGGCAGACUUGUGACCUACUUAUUCACUUCUUUUAAUGCUAGUUGAAGGGUAUUUUAGACAAUUGAUGUCAAAUGGGUUUGGGUGGGAAUUUUUUUAUUUGUGUCAAAUGGUUUGGGAGAGGAGACACCAAUUGCCUGAAAAUACCCUUCAAAUGACUUCAAAAGAAGUGAAUAGGUGGGACCUACCAUUGCCACGUAGGUAAUUAACAAAAUUUUUGACAUGUAAAGUUAAUGUUGGAACCAUAUUUCAAAAAAUUAAUAAGAUUAGGGUACAUAACUAUUAAAAUUGCAAGUGCAAACAUGCCUUAAGGGUGAAAGUUCAUGGUACUAAAUUGCCCAUUCAUAUUUGAGUGAUUUUGUAAAACUGAGAAAAGUAUUGGAAAAUUGAUUUGGUUGACGAAAGGCAGACAUCCUGGCGAAGAAAAGGGUACUGUAUUGUAGUCGGUUCUUUCAAUUAGGACCUUUUUUCCCUCUAAAAAAUCAUUAAGACUUUUGAACUAAUUAAUAAAUCCAUAUCAUUAAGCGAUGAUAUGACAUUGCCAUGUCACUUGGGAUCCAAUUGUCAAGUCACUUGAUACACAAAUUUAGUAUUUCUAGUAUUACCCUAAUUUAAUAUUUUGUCUCACGAUAUGUUGUUAAUAGUCGAUAUUAACAUUGCAACGUGUCCAGGUGGCAAUUCUCAUUUUCUUCCAAAGAUGAGGGUCUCAGAUCUUUCGGGGAGCGUAUUAUGAAUUUUCUUGUUAUGGUGCAAUAUGUACCACGAGUUCUUCGCAUCUACCUAUCAUGUAAGAAAGCUAGAAAACCUUUCAAAGGACAUAUCCCAUUAUGGCUUAAAGGUUUACUCAAUCUUUUUCUCUACGUUCUCGCUAGUCAUGUAAGUUUCACUUUAUCAUAAUUUAUUUAAUUUUAAAAAGUUCGCUUUCUUUAAAUAAAGGAUCAUAUUUUUCUCAAAAGUUCAAUCUAACAAGUUUGUUGUUUCUUUAGGUGCUUGGAGCGUUUUGGUACUUUUUUGCUGCUCAACAAAUGAUAAGUUGUUGGGAACAUGCAUGUCAAUAUGGAAAUGGAUGUGGCUCUACUACAUUUAAUUGUCACGAUCACCAAACGAUGAAAAAUAUUACAGUUCUAAAUAAUUCCUGCCCUAUAGAUCCACCAGAUACAACUCUCUUUGAUUUUGGUAUAUACCUAAAUGUCCUUCAGUCAGGUGCAUUGUGGUCAACAGACUAUCCCCUGAAGUUUUUGAACAGUUUUUGUUGGGGCCUGCGAAAUUUGAGGUUUGUACAUGUGAAACCAACGUAUACAUUGAUGCUGUUUUUUAAACUAGAGAGAUGGUUUUAGAUUUCCUUACAUUGAGCAAUUGAGAUUUGUAUAUAUUAUGUAUUCUGAUCCAUUUCAUGUUUGCAGUUCUCUUGCUUCAAAUCUCCAACCGAGUUUCUAUACAUGGGAAAUCGCCUUUGUAGCUUUUAUAUCUAUAAUCGGCUUGAUACUGUUUGUAUAUCUCAUUGGAAAUUUGCAGGUUGGUGCGGUGUAUAUAAAAAGUUCUCCUUAAGCUUAAAGCUCCUAAUUUGAUUUUUUUUUUUCCCUCAUUUAAUGAACUGAACCUUGUUGUUGUGAAGUAGACCUAUGUGCUUAUAGAUACUGAAAGGUUAGAGUCGCACAGACGCGAGAAUAAACUUAAACGGAAGAUUAAAGAAAAUGACCGAAAGGUAGAAUCAUGGUUAUCCGGCCAUGGCAUCCCCCUUAGCGAAAAGCAGAAGAUCAUGGAAGAGAUACAAAGAGAACUUGUUGAAAACUCGGAUUUUGAUGUGGUUAGGGAAAUCCUCUCUAUUCUUCCCCGCGAAUAUAUCAAAAGUUGCAGCCCAUUGAGUAGGCUGAGGAAGGUAGGUUCAUCGAAAACGCAUCGUAUUUAAAUUUUCUCCACCAUUAUUCGUAUCCAAUGAUGAUAUAUAUAUUAUAUUUUUAAUUGCUGAUUAUUUUUCUCAAAUAUUGUAUCUAUUUCUAGGUGCCACUACUUAAAGACAUGGACGAAGGAGUUUUGGUAGAAAUAUCUGAGAAGCUUCAUCCCAAGAAGUAUACUCCUGGACAAAUCAUUAUAAACAAGGAUGAAACACUUCAAAUGAUGCUUUUCAUCGUGGACGGAUGUGUAACCAUUGAUAAGAUAGAUUAUUCUCAGUUGGAACAUCUACGCCCAGGAGAUUUUUAUGGAGAGGAACUUCUAGUUUCCCCAUUGUGGACCUCGUCUGGUGAUGCAAAACCCAUAAACCAGUCUGUUCAAGCAAUUGAUGAUGUUCAAGCCCUUGUUCUCUCUGCCACAGACAUGGCGACCUUGAGCUUUAGUUCCAGGCGGCAUAUCAACGAGUUGCGCAUGGUGGUAACUAUUCUUCAGAAAGUAAGCUCCUCUCUAUUUAGAAGAUAUAUAAAAGAUGAAUAAUUGGAUUCUCACCUUCCAUCCUUGCUAGCUACUAACAUACAAUGACGUUACUUAUUUGUUUUAUAUAAUGUUCUCUUUAUGUUUGAGAAAUUAAUAAUGUGUCAAAUCCUAGGUGCCAAAACUUCAAACUAUGGAUAA
rnacentral:lncRNA from 1 species